rnacentral:rRNA from 1 species
AACGAACGCUGGCGGCAUGCCUAACACAUGCAAGUCGAACGAGACCUUCGUGUCUAGUGGCGCACGGGUGCGUAACGCGUGGGAACCUUCCCUUAUGUUCGGAAUAACUCCCCGAAAGGGGUGCUAAUACCGGAUAAUUUCUUCGGACCAAAGAUUUAUCGCCUUUGGAUGGGCCCGCGUUGGAUUAGCUAGUUGGUAGGGUAAAAGCCUACCAAGGCGACGAUCCAUAGCUGGUAUGAGAGGAUGAUCAUCCACACUGGGACUGAGACACGGCCCAGACUCCUACGGGAGGCAGCAGAGGGGAAUAUUGGACAAUGGGCGAAAGCCUGAUCCAGCAAUGCCGCGUGAGUGAUGAAGGCCUUAGGGUAGUAAAGCUCUUUUACCCGGGAUGAUAAUGACAGUACCGGGAGAAUAAGCUCCGGCUAACUCCGUG